GACGAACCGUCCAAACGUUAUUCGGAAUCACUGGGCUUAAAGGGCGCGUAGGCGGGCUGACGAGUCCGGGGUGAAAUCCUCCAGCUUAACUGGAGAACGGCCUCGGAUACUGUUGGUCUCGAGGAAGAUAGGGGCAUGCGGAACUGGUGGUGGAGCGGUGAAAUGCGUUGAUAUCACUAGGAACUCCGGUGGCGAAGGCGGCAUGCUGGAUCUUUUCUGACGCUGAGGCGCGAAAGCCAGGGGAGCGAACGGG
rnacentral:rRNA from 1 species